GCCAGUAGUCAUAUGCUUGUCUUAAAGAUUAAGCCAUGCACGUCUAAGUAUAAGCAAAAAUACAGCAAAACUGCAAAUGGCUCAUUAAAACAGUUAUGGUUUACUUGAUAAUAGUUCUUACAUGGAUAACCGUGGUAAUUCUACAGCUAAUACAUGAGCAAAAUCUCAACUUUAUUAGAAGAGACGCAUUUAUUAGAUAAAAAGCCAAUAUAUGUUUUUAAAAUAUGAAAAUUGGUGAUUUACAAUAACUUAGCAAAUCGCAAAGUGAAAACAGGCGAUAAAUCAUUCAAGUUUCUGACCUAUCAGCUUUCGACGGUAUGGUAUUGGCUUACCGUGGCAGUGACGGUUAACGGGGGAUUAGGGUUCGAUUCCGGAGAGGGAGCCUGAGAAACGGCUACCACAUCUAAGGAAGGCAG
rnacentral:rRNA from 1 species